rnacentral:rRNA from 1 species
UUUUCGGAGAGUUUGAUCCUGGCUCAGGACGAACGCUGGCGGCGUGCCUAAUACAUGCAAGUCGAGCGAACAGAAGGGAGCUUGCUCCCGGAUGUUAGCGGCGGACGGGUGAGUAACACGUGGGUAACCUGCCUGUAAGACUGGGAUAACUCCGGGAAACCGGAGCUAAUACCGGAUAGUUCCUUGAACCGCAUGGUUCAAGGAUGAAAGACGGUUUCGGCUGUCACUUACAGAUGGACCCGCGGCGCAUUAGCUAGUUGGUGGGGUAAUGGCUCACCAAGGCGACGAUGCGUAGCCGACCUGAGAGGGUGAUCGGCCACACUGGGACUGAGACACGGCCCAGACUCCUACGGGAGGCAGCAGUAGGGAAUCUUCCGCAAUGGACGAAAGUCUGACGGAGCAACGCCGCGUGAGUGAUGAAGGUUUUCGGAUCGUAAAGCUCUGUUGUUAGGGAAGAACAAGUGUGAGAGUAACUGCUCGCACCUUGACGGUACCUAACCAGAAAGCCACGGCUAACUACGUGCCAGCAGCCGCGGUAAUACGUAGGUGGCAAGCGUUGUCCGGAAUUAUUGGGCGUAAAGGGCUCGCAGGCGGUUUCUUAAGUCUGAUGUGAAAGCCCCCGGCUCAACCGGGGAGGGUCAUUGGAAACUGGGGAACUUGAGUGCAGAAGAGGAGAGUGGAAUUCCACGUGUAGCGGUGAAAUGCGUAGAGAUGUGGAGGAACACCAGUGGCGAAGGCGACUCUCUGGUCUGUAACUGACGCUGAGGAGCGAAAGCGUGGGGAGCGAACAGGAUUAGAUACCCUGGUAGUCCACGCCGUAAACGAUGAGUGCUAAGUGUUAGGGGGUUUCCGCCCCUUAGUGCUGCAGCUAACGCAUUAAGCACUCCGCCUGGGGAGUACGGUCGCAAGACUGAAACUCAAAGGAAUUGACGGGGGCCCGCACAAGCGGUGGAGCAUGUGGUUUAAUUCGAAGCAACGCGAAGAACCUUACCAGGUCUUGACAUCCUCUGACAACCCUAGAGAUAGGGCUUUCCCUUCGGGGACAGAGUGACAGGUGGUGCAUGGUUGUCGUCAGCUCGUGUCGUGAGAUGUUGGGUUAAGUCCCGCAACGAGCGCAACCCUUGAUCUUAGUUGCCAGCAUUUAGUUGGGCACUCUAAGGUGACUGCCGGUGACAAACCGGAGGAAGGUGGGGAUGACGUCAAAUCAUCAUGCCCCUUAUGACCUGGGCUACACACGUGCUACAAUGGACAGAACAAAGGGCUGCGAGACCGCAAGGUUUAG